rnacentral:lncRNA from 1 species
AUGAAUGUCAGGAAAGGCCUUAAUCUAAUAUUUAUUCAUUCAUUUUUUUUAAUUGCCCAGUUGCCAAGCCUUGUUCUCUAUGGUGACAGAGAAGCAGGAAGAACUUCUGUUAAGCUGAAAUUGAUGUUCAAAGUAAAGCUAUUUCUCAGAAGAGUAGCGACUUGGGGCAAAGCAAUAAAACUAAGACAAAAGAACAAAGGGCUAUGAUUGCAGCAUCAGUAACUGGCUUGAGAAGAGAUUGUGCUGAAGCAGAUAAUACAGCUCAUUGAACUAUGUGAUCCGGGAAGUACACACACCUGGUAAAGCUCUUUCUGGGAUUACAGACCUGACAUUUUGGGCUCACUAGUUAAGAAGAGACUUUUGAAAAAAGCAAACAAAAGUUAAAACAACAAAGCAAAAUUAAUUUUCCCUUAAACUAUGAAACCACUUUACAAAUUCCGGUGUUUCGUCUCUGCUUAGAACACCUACAAAAGCAUUUUAUACAAAUAUCUUAAGCUCAUAAUAUCAAAAUUAGAAUAGCAAGUAUAGCACUAGGUGCUAUAUUCUAGUACUGAGUUUAUAACCAUUGUUGAUUGAUAAAUAAUAAUUCCCUUUAUACUGUUCAAAUAUAUCUAAUGAAAAUACCCAAAGUCUAGAAUAGUGUUUUUACUAAUGAUUAUGUUUGCAAUUCAACCUGACACUUGAUCAUCACAAAACACAUAACUAUAUUAUAUUUAAAAAUAUGAAACACUAAACAUUACAAUAGUGCUUAUAUUUUAUAAAUCUGAAAUUUUUUAAUUACCAACAAAGCUAAUAAUAAUGUACUAGCAAUCAUUUUUCCUGUGAUUUGUUAAAAGCAUAAUAAACAAUACAAGAACACAAGUAUAAUUUACCA